rfam:Helcococcus kunzii ATCC 51366 genomic scaffold supercont1.1, whole genome shotgun sequence.
UGUGGUGACAAUAGCGAAGGGGAUACACCUGUAUCCAUCUCGAACACAGAAGUUAAGCCCUUCAUCGCUGAUGGUACUUGGCUGGUAACGGCUUGGGAGAGUAGGUAGUCGCCAAAU